rnacentral:rRNA from 1 species
AUUGAACGCUGGCGGCAUGCCUUACACAUGCAAGUCGAACGGCAGCACGGGUGCUUGCACCUGGUGGCGAGUGGCGAACGGGUGAGUAAUACAUCGGAACAUGUCCUGUAGUGGGGGAUAGCCCGGCGAAAGCCGGAUUAAUACCGCAUACGAUCUACGGAUGAAAGCGGGGGACCUUCGGGCCUCGCGCUAUAGGGUUGGCCGAUGGCUGAUUAGCUAGUUGGUGGGGUAAAGGCCUACCAAGGCGACGAUCAGUAGCUGGUCUGAGAGGACGACCAGCCACACUGGGAAUGAGACACGGCCCAGACUCCUACGGGAGGCAGCAGUGGGGAAUGUUGGACAAUGGGCGAAAGCCUGAUCCAGCAAUGCCGCGUGUGUGAAGAAGGCCUUCGGGUUGUAAAGCACUGUUGUCCGGAAAGAAAGCCUUGGCCCUAAUACCGUCGGGGGAUGACGGUACCGGAAGAAUAAGCACCGGCUAACUACGUG